rnacentral:rRNA from 1 species
UACGUAGGCAGCAAGCGUUGUUCGGAAUUACUGGGCGUAAAGAGUGUGUAGGCGGUGUUCUAAGUCUGUUGUGAAAUCUCCCGGCUUAACUGGGAGGGUGCGGCGGAAACUGGAAUGCUAGAGGAUGGGAGAGGUAAGCGGAAUUCCUGGCGUAGCGGUGAAAUGCGUAGAUAUCAGGAGGAACACCUGUGGUGUAGACAGCUUACUGGACCAUUUCUGACGCUGAGACACGAAAGCGUGGGUAGCAAACAGG